rnacentral:rRNA from 1 species
GACGAACGCUGGCGGCGUGCCUAAUACAUGCAAGUAGGACGCAGUUGCGAACGGGUGAGUAACGCGUAGGUAACUGCCUCUUAGAGGGGGAUAACUAUUGGAAACGAUAGCUAAUACCGCAUACUCGUAGAUGGACCUGCGGUGUAUUCGCUAGUAGGUAGGGUAAUGGCCUACCUAGGCGACGAUACAUAGCCGACCGGAGAGGGGGAUCGGCCACACUGGGACUGGGAAACGGCCCAGAACUCUACGGGAGGCAGCAGGAGGGAAACUUCGGGAAUGGGGGGAAACCUGACCGAGCAACGCCGCGGGAGUGAAGAAGGGUUUCGGAUCGGAAAGAUCUGUUGUUAAGGAAGCGGUACUUAACCAGAAAGGGACGGCUAACUACGUGCCAGCCGCCGCGGUAAUUC